rnacentral:tRNA from 1 species
UGCGGGGUGGAGCAGUCUGGUAGCUCGUCGGGCUCAUAACCCGAAGGUCGCCGGUUCGAGUCCUGCUCCCGCUACUA